AGCCGGGAGGUUCGUGGUGAGGGGUUCCGCCUGUUGAUGGUGAAUGGCUGGAGGGCUCCGCCUGUUGGUGGUGAAUGCAUGGAGGGCUCUGCCUGUUGGUGGUCAGAGUUGGGAGGGCUCUGCCUGUUGGUGGUGAAUGUCUGGAGGGCUCCGCCUGUUGGUGGUGAGAGCUGGGAGGGCUCCGCCUGUUGGUGGUGAGAGCUGGGAGGUUCGUGGUGAGGGGUUCUACCUGUUGGUGGUGAGAGCUUGGAGGGCUCCGCCUGUUGGUGGUGAAUGCAUGGAGGGCUCUGCCUGUUGAUGGUGAGAGCUGGGAGGGCUCCGCCUGUUGGUGGUGAGAGCUGGGAGGUUCGUGGUGAGGGGUUCCACCCGUUGGUGGUGAGUGCCAGGGUGUUCGUGGUGAGCGCUGCCGCCUGUUGGUGGUGAGAGCUGGGAUGGCUGGCGCCUGUUGGUGGUGAAUGCCUGGAGGGCUCCGCCUGUUGGUGGUGAGAGCUGGGAGGGCUCUGCCUGUUGGUGGUGAAUGUCCGGAGGGCUCUGCCUGUUGGUGAUGAGAGCUGGGAGGUUCAUGGUGAGGGGUUCCGCCUGUUGGUGGCGAGCAGUCAGAGCUGAGAGGGCUCCGCCUGUUGGUGGUGAGCACCAGGAGGUUCGUGGUGAGGGGUUCCACCUGUUGGCGGUCGGAGCUGGGAGGGCUCCGCCUGUUGGUGGUGAGAGCUGGGAGGUUCGUGGUGAGGGGUUGCGCCUGUGGGUGGUGAACGCCUGGAGGGCUCUGCCUGUUGGUGGUGAGAGCCAGGAGGUUUGUGGCGACGGAUUCCGCCUGUUGGUGGUGAGAGCUGGGAGGGCUCCGCCUGUUGGUGGUCGGAGCUGGGAGGUUCGUGGUGAGGGGUUCCACCUGUUGAUGGUGAAUGCCUGGAGGGCUCCGCCUGUUGGUGGUGAGUGCUCGGGUGUUCGUGUUGAGCGCUGCCGCCUGUUGGCACAGACAGCUGGGAGGGCUCCACCUGUUGGUGGUUGGAGCUGGGAGAUCUCUGCCUGUUGGUAGUGAGAGCUGGGAGGUUCGUGGCGAGGGGUUCUGUCUGUUGGUGGUGAAUGCCUGGAGGGCUCCGCCUGUUGGUGGUCAGAGCUUGGAGGGCUCCGCCUGUUGGUGGUGAGAGCUGGGAGGUUCAUGGUGAGGGGUUCCACCUGUUGGUGGUGAGAGCUGGGAGGGCUCUGCCUGUUGGUGGUGAGUGCCAG